CAGUUUUAGAAGUUGAAGACAUGGGCUGUAUGGUUGAGAAGAGUUCUGCUGAACCCAGUUUGAAGUUGCACUUGUUGCGGGUUGAAAUGUUAUCCCAUACCUGUGUUAAAAGCGGCUUUCUGAUUGGUUUAGAGCAGGUGAGUUUGUCGUCGAGCUCACCUGCUUUUUGCCCGAACUCACCUGCUUUUCGCCGAACUCACCCGCGAAACUCCUCACGUUGCAACUUGCAAUAACAAUAACAAGUAUGGCGGACAAGAUUUAGCCGAUAAACCUAGGCUUUAUAGAACUUUUUUCGGUGACUAACUUGCUGAGACUGAAGAAAAACCAAAGAAAAAUGCAUCAAAGGUAAUCUAGACGUAGAUAAAGAAUUAUUUUCUUGCCCAGUGAUUUUUUUGGCCGGGAAAAUGCUGACAAAACAUCGACGAAUAUAUCUCGAAGAGCUACAAAUGUGUGUAUGGCUCGGUGUAUGGG